UACGGGGGGAGCAAGCGUUGUUCGGAUUUACUGGGCGUAAAGCGCGCGUAGGCGGAUCGCUAAGUCAGGGGUGAAAUCCCAGGGCUCAACCCUGGAACUGCCUUUGAUACUGACGAUCUGGAGAUCGGGAGAGGUUGGUGGAAUUCCGAGUGUAGAGGUGAAAUGCGUAGAGAUGCGGAGGAACACCAGUGGCGAAAGCGAACUUUCGUGGUCCUUAACG
rnacentral:rRNA from 1 species